UACGGAGGAUGCAAGCGUUAUCCGGAAUGAUUGGGCGUAAAGCGUCCGCAGGUGGCAAUGUAAGUCUGCUGUUAAAGAGUCUAGCUCAACUAGAUAAAAGCAGUGGAAACUACAUAGCUAGAGUACGUUCGGGGCAGAGGGAAUUCCUGGUGUAGCGGUGAAAUGCGUAGAGAUCAGGAAGAACACCAGUGGCGAAGGCUCUCUGCUAGGCCGUAACUGACACUGAGGGACGAAAGCUAGGGGAACGAAUGGG
rnacentral:rRNA from 1 species